rfam:Rattus norvegicus strain BN/SsNHsdMCW Contig27436, whole genome shotgun sequence.
ACAAGCUAAGAGAUACAAAGGGAAAAGUAAGGCUGCUCUGACAGCAAAAACAAGCAAAUAUCUCCAGAGGGGAUUAAUCCCUCUGCUUCAAAGUACCCAAGCAAGGGAAGUGGUGCCAGCUUCUCUAGUAACAACACCUGUCCAUCAGACAAGGAUGAGCUAAU